UUCAAACACCCGUUCCCGUCAGAUAACCGAAGUUAAGUAACGUCGAGCCUGGUCAGUACCACAAGAGGUGACCGUUUGGAAUAUCAAGAGCUGUAAG